UUUUAUUUGUUGUGACUGAGUAGUAUUAGUUAUGUUCUUGAACUUAAAGAAUUUGGCGGUAUCUCAUUCCAUCCAGAGGAAUCUGUCUCGUUAUCGAUAGUCCACGUUGGACCUUACUUGGUUGCUUUGGUUUGUAUACCGCCGUUUAUUUGAUUAUCUUUUUAGAGUUUAUUUAAUUUUCUGGUUUCUUUAUUUUGUUUUAUUUCAGGUCAAGGUGCAGCUUGUUUCCAAGUGAUUGAUGGAUUACAUUGUUAUUUGUUUUGUGGAUUGUUUUAUUAAAGUUGAGCAUGAAAUUGGAUUUGGUUGUAAUGGUUUGUAGAUUGUUACCAUGAUAGUUGGUUCUGGGAUAUGCACACAUCGCCCGUCGCUCUCGUUGAUUUAAUGAUGAGAUAAGUCGAAAACAUAGUAACGUCUUUUUUUCUUUUACCCCUGGCUCCUUUUUUAUUGCCCAACUUUAAAAAAAAAAUUAUAUAUGUGGGGGGGGUGGAUUUAA
rnacentral:rRNA from 1 species